UGCUGCUGCUGCUGCGCAAUUUCUGUUUCUCGCGACGUGUUUGUUUUAUCGAUUUUUCGCGACUGUGAUUUUAACGAUAUUUUUUCUGUGCUCAAACUUAAUUGCAAUUUGCCACGCUCACGUUCACUACUUACGCUUGGAUGAAAAGUUUUUGGAAACUCAGGAAUUUCAGUUUUCUCGCAACGUAAUUUUCGAUAGGACAACUCGAUAUCUUCGUCUUCGUCAGCCUCCUCGUUGCUCACAAUUUCAUAAUCGUGGUCUAUCGUAUUGUGUUACAAACCGGCAGCGUCUUCAAUGUGCCGUUACUCAUGGUAUGUGGACGACGAAAGUGGGCAGCUGGAGCAUUGCGGAAAGGUAAAUAUUGGCUAGUUGGAAGUGUUACAAAUACGCAUCGUAUGCGGCGGCAUUUGGCGAAUUAAAGGCAUGUGAAAUCGAGCGUGGAAAAUUUUUGGUUCGAAAAUAGUUGAGGGCGCCUAAAUAGAAUUAGACAUAUGUAAGUAUGUACAUGACACAGUUAUUAAAGCACAGUAAUAAAGGGUGUUUCAUGUGGGUUUCAGAGGAAA